rnacentral:lncRNA from 1 species
AGGUGCCUUACAUGGCCUCACUUUAUAACAAAUUGCUCCCUAAAAAAUAACUCGUUGGCCUCCAAGCAGUGCUAGUGGACUGGUGAGAAUCGGAGCCACAUGGAGCUGAACUGCUACCCCACCCCCACCAUCCCAAGCCUCCCAGCAUCAUGAGUAGAGCCACGUGGGUGCCUGUAAUACCACCCCACUGCCCCAUCCCCUGCUGCCUCUAGCCUUCUGGCUGCUCUGGUAACUGGAUCCAUACCAUAGACGCAUAGGGUGUCAUAAAGGCCAUUGUCCUGAGCUCCAGAAGAUAGAGCAGAAGUGAACAAAAGAAAGAAGGCCUCUCUCAGGCUCCUUGAUGAAAACUGAAGCCAAAAGGGACACAGUCUCCGAAAUAAAGGCACGCUAGCCCACAAUAUUUGCUCAACCAUGAAGAGGACAGCCACAGUUCUGAACAGUGUCCCUGAUGACUAGAGAUCCUUGUAGCAGUACAUAUUAAAGGACCAAGAAAUCAAGAGAUGACUUUCUAAAAGCAAAGAUUUCCUACAUAAAGGACUCACUGAAGGACAGGCUUUGCCUUCUCCCUGUUGCUCAUAUCUUACCCAGUCAAGGCCACUCCCUUCAGAAUGAUAACAAUGUAACCACUUCUCAUAAUACUUGUGAACUCUUUGGGGAUUUCCUCAGAACCUGAAUCAGAUUUCCCUGAAUGUCAAUGAAGC